UACGUAGGGGGCUAGCGUUGUCCGGAAUCAUUGGGCGUAAAGAGCUCGUAGGCGGUCUGUCGCGUCGGAUGUGAAAGCCCGGGGCUUAACCCCGGGUCUGCAUUCGAUACGGGCAGACUAGAGUGUGGUAGGGGAGAUCGGAAUUCCUGGUGUAGCGGUGAAAUGCGCAGAUAUCGGGAAGAACACCCGUGGCGAAGGCGGCUCUCUGGAACGCAACUGACGCUGAGACGCGAAAGCGUGGGGAGCAAACAGG
rnacentral:rRNA from 1 species